AAAAACAUAGGGUUCUGCUAAGUCGCAAGACGAUGUAUAGGAGCUGACGCCGGCCCGGUGCUGGAAGGUUAAGGGGAUCGGUUAGAGCAAUCGAAGCAGUGAACUUAAGCCCCAGUAAACGGCGGCCGUAACUAUAACGGUCCUAAGGUAGCGAAAUUCCUUGUCGGGUAAGUUCCGACCCGAACGAAAGGCGUAACGAUUUGGGCACUGUCUCAACAACAGACUCGGUGAAAUUGUAAUUCCGGUGAAGAUGCCGGAUACCUGCGACAGGACGGAAAGACCCCAUGGAGCUUUACUGUAGCUUGACAUUGGGUCUUGGUACUACAUGUACAGGAUAGGU
rnacentral:rRNA from 1 species